UACAGAGGUCUCAAGCGUUUGUUCGGAUUCAUUGGGCGUAAAGGGUGCGUAGGCGGCGCGGUAAGUCGGGUGUGAAAUCUCGGAGCUUAACUCCGAAACUGCAUUUCGAUACUGCCGUGCUUUGAGGACUGGAGAGGAGACUGGAAUUUACGGUGUACGGUGAAAUGCGUAGAUAAUCGUAAGGAAGACCAGUGGCGAAAGGCGGGUCUCUGGACAGUUCCUACGUGAGGCACGAAGGCCAGGGGGAGCAAAACGGG
rnacentral:rRNA from 1 species